ensembl:lncRNA
CGCGCGUGCUGUGAGUGCGUGCGUGCGUGCGCGCGCGCGCGCGUGUGUGUUGAGGAGCACAUGGACGACAGAGGACGAGAUUUUAGCAGCGCGGCUAAUUAAAGCAGCUCAUCGCCUGAGGGGGGAAAAAAAGACAUCUCAGGACUAAAUUUAACACCGGGAACGCAGACACAGGCUUGUGUUUUAUAUCAGACGGGCAAAAAAACAAGAAAAAAAGCAUAACGGCGCCAUUGGCGUUUCUGGAACUUCUGCUUCUGGCUGACGUCCAAGGUGUAAAUCCUGCUUCCUUGUGCUAACGGUUCAGCGACGAUCCAGGACUCUCGAGGACGAAACGGAGCGGUAGGAGCUCUCUACCCUCGGGAGAAGGAUGAGCUCUUCAUGCUGAUCCAUCUGGACAGAGCAAGCACGCCAUCAGUGGCAGACUAGAGAGGUCACGAGGGCUGUGCUAAUCAGCCAUUUCUUCUGGCUGCGCUUUGAAAACCACACCUGUGGUGGAAAGACAUGAUGGAAGUACCAUAUGUAGAAGAUGGCGGGAAGCACACCGUAUAAAGCUGUCGGUGACCCAUCACCCGUACGGAGAGGUCGUCCGCUCAGACACAACGCCGUUAUCAUUCGCCGUAAUCUUCAUAUGUUUCUGAAGAUACGAGACCCAUGUGGAAGUGUGCGUAGUACGCCACUUCCUGCAUGUGACUGUUAAGGUGAGGACAUCGUACAGUAUUCAUAUCCGGAUAGGUUUUCAAGCUGCUCGCUAUUUGUGUGGACUCUCCAAGGGCCGUAUUCAGAUUGGCGUCAAGUGCACUUCGUGGGGAUUUAAUACGAACGCCGUGCACGUUUGGUAUUCAGGUAAACGUCCACGAGACGUUCUGCUCAUCUCAAGGACUUUAUGGAUAAAACGAAGACCCGGUGCGAGCUGUACGAGUAGCAAAUGGAUGUUUGGUCAGCUUAUCGUUCAGUGCAGGAGUUGAAUGCGUGAUGGAAUACCUCGGAUUCCACGCACACCGUAUAGUUUUAUGCUAUUAUUAAAAAGUAAAUAAACGAUGUGAAUAGUGAUGAGGAGGUGUGCUGGAUGAAGUGCUACGCUGUAAGCUGCUGAAUAAUGAGGGUGGAAGCCAUGAUGUUAAAAUUAACCCAAAUGUUGAGUGAUUAAUGAGAUGAGUAGAGUUAGGACUUUACCAUUAGGUAAAGGUCGGCGAUUGCCUUGGGCCGUGAGCUACCAAGGGCCCCCAAAACGCUGCCUAAACUUAUGCUUAAGAAAGGUGUGGGUGUUUCCGUUUCUUUUACUUUUCAUUAAUUGUGUUUUUGUAAAAAUGCGUACGCUAAAAAGCCGUCCGAAUGCGUAAUUGACGAGUGUCUCGGGCCCCCCCUCAGCACCCACUACAGUUUUACUGCGGAAAUGAUUCGGGGAGAAAGGAGCCAACUCGUGCGAACGCCGGCGACGUGACGUGGAGUGUACAGACGGAACGAAAACGAAGCGGAGAGAAAGCGUGAGGACAGGGAAAAGGUUUCUAUCAAAGCCUGUGACGUGUUUUAGAUGAAGAGAUUUCGCCUUUGGUGUAAAGGCAAGUUGCAGUUCUGCAGGCGCUGACGACUCUCGCAUUCCAGCCAAAGAACAGGGAGACCGGGACAGGCUGCAGGGUUCUCCCUCU